CAAACUUUGGUCAUUUAGAGGAAGUAAAAGUCGUAACAAGGUCUCCGUUGGUGAACCAGCGGAGGGAUCAUUACCGAGUUUACAACUCCCAAACCCUUAUGUGAACCAUACCUAUCGUUGCUUCGGCGGGAGAGCCCCGGCCCCCUCGGGCCCGGAGUCAGGCGCCCGCCGGAGACCCCAAACUCUUUGUUUUACUUGAGUAUCGUCUGAGUGGUAUAAACAAAUACAUCAAAACUUUUAACAACGGAUCUCUUGGCUCUGGCAUCGAUGAAGAACGCAGCGAAAUGCGAUAAGUAAUGUGAAUUGCAGAAUUCAGUGAAUCAUCGAAUCUUUGAACGCACAUUGCGCCCGUCAGCAUUCUGGCGGGCAUGCCUGUUCGAGCGUCAUUUCAACCCUCAGGACCCCCCUUUCGCGGGGAGGGACCUGGCGUUGGGGAUCGGCCCGCCCCCCGUGGCGGCGCCGUCCCCGAAAUCUAGUGGCGGUCUCGCUGCAGCCUCCCCUGCGUAGUAGUUACAACCUCGCAUCGGAGCGCGGCGCGGCCACGCCGUAAAACCCCCGACUUUCUGAACGUUGACCUCGGAUCAGGUAGGAAUACCCGCUGAACUUAAGCAUAUCAAUAGGCGGGAGGAAAACUUGGUCAUUUAGAGGAGCAUAUCAAUAAGCGGAGGA
rnacentral:rRNA from 1 species